CCGCAACAUUCAGGCUGGAAAACGUGUGGGUCUUGACACAGUGCUGGUUGGUACUUCUCAGAGGGUGAAAGGUGCAGAUUAUGCGUUGGAAAGCAUCCAUAACCUGAGGGAAGCAGCGCCAGAGCUAUGGGAGUCUGAAAUUAAGACAGAAGUUGGCUACCCUGGAAAGGUUCCAAGGGAGACACCUGUCACUGCCUAAGAU
rnacentral:misc_RNA from 1 species